rnacentral:rRNA from 1 species
GAUUAAGUGUCGUAAGGGCAUUUGGUGGAUGCCUUGGCAUGCACAGGCGAUGAAGGACGUGAUACGCUGCGAAAAGCCGUGGGGAGCUGCGAAUAAGCUUUGAUCCAUGGAUCUCCGAAUGGGGCAACCCACCUUAAAUGCUUGGAAAAUCCAAGUUGUUCGGAAGAACGAUUUGGGUUUCCAAGCAUUGUGAUAAGGUAUCUGCACCUGAAUAAAAUAGGGUGUAAGAAGCGAACGCAGGGAACUGAAACAUCUAAGUACCUGCAGGAAAGGACAUCAACCGAGACUCCGCAAGUAGUGGCGAGCGAACGCGGACCAGGCCAGUGGCAAUUGUGUUUAAAGCGGAACA